UACGUAGGGUGCAAGCGUUGUCCGGAAUUAUUGGGCGUAAAGAGCUCGUAGGCGGCUUGUCGCGUCGGCUGUGAAAACCUGGGGCUCAACCCCGGGCCUGCAGCCGAUACGGGCAAGCUAGAAUUCGGUAGGGGAGACUGGAAUUCCUGGUGUAGCGGUGAAAUGCGCAGAUAUCAGGAGGAACACCGGUGGCGAAGGCAGUGUCCUGGCGAGUGACUGACGCUGAGGUGCGAAAGCCAGGGGAGCGAACGGG
rnacentral:rRNA from 1 species